GGGUUGUGAGGUUAAGCGACUAAGCGUACACGGUGGAUGCCCUGGCAGUCAGAGGCGAUGAAGGACGUGCUAAUCUGCGAAAAGCGUCGGUAAGGUGAUAUGAACCGUUAUAACCGGCGAUGUCCGAAUGGGGAAACCCAGUGCAAUUCGUUGCACUAUCGUUAACUGAAUACAUAGGUUAACGAGGCGAACCGGGGGAACUGAAACAU
rnacentral:rRNA from 2 species